CAGCGCCACGAGUGGCAACCGUAUUUAUUGGGCCUAAAGCGUCCGUAGCCGGUUCUGUAAAUCUUUUGUGAAAUCAUGGGGCUCAACUCCAUGUCGUGCAGGAGACACUACAGGACUUGGAACCGGGAGGAGUCAGAAGUAUUCUGGGGGGAGCGGUAAAAUGUUAUAAUCCCCGGAGGACUACCUGUGGCGAAGGCGUCUGACUAGAACGGAUUCGACGGUGAGGGACGAAAGCUGGGGGAGCAAACCGGAUUAGAUACCCGAGUAGUCC
rnacentral:rRNA from 1 species